rnacentral:rRNA from 1 species
GGAAUUAUUGGGCGUAAAGCGCGCGCAGGCGGUUUCUUAAGUCUGAUGUGAAAGCCCCCGGCUCAACCGGGGAGGGUCAUUGGAAACUGGGGAACUUGAGUGCAGAAGAGGAGAGUGGAAUUCCACGUGUAGCGGUGAAAUGCGUAGAGAUGUGGAGGAACACCAGUGGCGAAGGCGACUCUCUGGUCUGUAACUGACGCUGAGGCGCGAAAGCGUGGGGAGCGAACAGGAUUAGAUACCCUGGUAGUCCACGCCGUAAACGAUGAGUGCUAAGUGUUAGAGGGUUUCCGCCCUUUAGUGCUGCAGCAAACGCAUUAAGCACUCCGCCUGGGGAGUACGGUCGCAAGACUGAAACUCAAAGGAAUUGACGGGGGCCCGCACAAGCGGUGGAGCAUGUGGU